rnacentral:rRNA from 1 species
AAGCUCGUAGUUGAAUUUCGGGGUUCUACCGUUGGUCGGGCUAACAAGUCUGUACUAGCGUGUAGAAUCUCUACCUUCUGGGGAACCAUCAUGUUAUUAACUUAGCGUGGUGGGAAACCAGGACCUUUACCUUGAAAAAAUUAGAGUGUUCAAAGCAGGCUUACGUCUGAAUACAUUAGCAUGGAAUAAUAAAAUAGGACGGUGGUCCUGUUUUGUUGGUUUCUGAAUCACCGUAAUGAUUAAUAGGGAUAGUUGGG